rnacentral:rRNA from 1 species
GACGAACGCUGGCGGCGUGCCUAAUACAUGCAAGUUGAGCGCUGAAGGUUGGUACUUGUACCGACUGGAUGAGCAGCGAACGGGUGAGUAACGCGUGGGGAAUCUGCCUUUGAGCGGGGGACAACAUUUGGAAACGAAUGCUAAUACCGCAUAAAAACUUUAAACACAAGUUUUAAGUUUGAAAGAUGCAAUUGCAUCACUCAAAGAUGAUCCCGCGUUGUAUUAGCUAGUUGGUGAGGUAAAGGCUCACCAAGGCGAUGAUACAUAGCCGACCUGAGAGGGUGAUCGGCCACAUUGGGACUGAGACACGGCCCAAACUCCUACGGGAGGCAGCAGUAGGGAAUCUUCGGCAAUGGACGAAAGUCUGACCGAGCAACGCCGCGUGAGUGAAGAAGGUUUUCGGAUCGUAAAACUCUGUUGGUAGAGAAGAACGUUGGUGAGAGUGGAAAGCUCACCAAGUGACGGUAACUACCCAGAAAGGGACGGCUAACUACGUG